GAUGAACGCUGGCGGCGUGCCUAACACAUGCAAGUUGAGCGAACCCUUCGGGGUGAGCGGCGGACGGGUGAGUAACGCGUGGGUAACCUGCCCUGUACACACGGAUAACAUACCGAAAGGUAUGCUAAUACGAGAUAAUAUGUAAUGAUCGCAUGAUUCGAUAGUCAAAACUCCGGUGCUCAAGGAUGGACUCGCGUCCGAUUAGCUAGUUGGUAAGGUAACGGCUUACCAAGGCGACGAUCGGUAGCCGGACUGAGAGGUUGAACGGCCACAUUGGGACUGAGACACGGCCCAGACUCCUACGGGAGGCAGCAGUGGGGGAUAUUGCGCAAUGGGGGAAACCCUGACGCAGCAACGCCGCGUGGAUGAUGACGGUUUUCGGAUUGUAAAGUCCUUUUCUUAGGGACGAAAUUUGACGGUACCUAAGGAAUAAGCUCCGGCUAACUACGUG
rnacentral:rRNA from 1 species